rnacentral:rRNA from 1 species
CAGAGCAGGCGAGACUACCCGCUGAAUUUAAGCAUAU